UUUUAAAAUAUGUAUGGAAAUUUUGUCAGCGAAAACCCUAAUACAAUAACAUUUGAAUUUUGGUAACUUUCUUGGGGGACGCACAAAGUUUUUUUGUCCAAUUCUUGUGGUGCACGUAGAAGAUCAACCCUUCGAAUUCUUGAAACUCUUCUCAUGUGAUCUAGGCAUCCGAUUUUGAUUUCCUUCAUCUAAAUCACAAUUAAUUCAUGUUCAAUUGCUACACACAGUACGCGAUUAUGAGUUUGUAAUUAUAAUUUUUGGGAUUUUGGUGCAGAAAAUCGAAAACUGGAGGAAGAGGAGGAGGGGUGAGCAUGGCUACUGUAUCAGCAGCGCCGCCGUUUCUGAACAAAACGUACGAGAUGGUGGACGAUCCAAAGACGGACGAGGUGGUGUCGUGGAGCAACACUAACAACACCAUCGUGGUGUGGAACGUGCGUGAGUUUACCAGAGAACUUUUGCCCAAAUAUUUUAAGCACAACAAUUUCUCCAGCUUCGUCCGCCAGCUGAACACUUAUGGGUUCAGAAAAGUUCACCCAGACCGCUGGGAAUUUGCAAAUGAGGGUUUUCUCAGAGGUCACAAACACCUACUGAAGAGCAUAAGCAGGCGAAAACCUUCCCAUGCACAGGGCCAUGAACAAUCCUCUCAAGUUCAGAGUUCAUCUGAUGGUACUUCCCCUGAAGCUGGAAAGUUUGUGAUAGAGGAAGAGGUUGAAAAGCUGAAAAGAGAUAAGAAUGUGCUUGUGCAGGAGCUUGUCAGGUUGAGGCAACAACAGCAGUCGACUGAUCACCAGUUUCAAACUGUAGGGCAACGUGUUCAUGUUAUGGAGCAACACCAGCAACAAAUGAUGUCCUUCCUUGCAAAAGCAAUGCAAAAUCCUGGUUUUAUAGCCCAGCUGUUUCAACAGCCGAAUGAAAGUAAGAUGCCUAAAUCUGGUGGGAAUAAGAAAAGGAGAUUCCCCAAUCAGGAGGAAGAUAUUUUAACACGCAAGUUAGGUAUUGCGACACCUGAUGGACAGAUUGUCAAGUACCAGCCUCUGAUGAAUGAAGCGGCAAAGGUAAUGCUGCAGCAAAUCCUAAAAAUGAGUGCAUCAGGUAGGAUAGAGUCCAAAAUUAGCAACAUAAAUGGUUUUUUGAUGGAUAACAUGCAUUCCCCAUCCAAUGUAUUAGACAACAGUAGUUCCUCCAAUCGAAUGUCUGGAGUUACUCUUCCAAAGGUCUUAUCAACGUCUUCACAGUCUCUAAUUGCAUCAGAGUCAGGAUCUCCAUUCAAACUUCCUUCAGCUGCCUUAUCCGAGAUUCAAUCUUCCUCUAAUUUGGUUAGUGGGAAGGCUCAAGGCACUCUGCUUCCUGAAAUUAACAAGGCAUUGUCGGAUUUUUCUCAAAUGGAAGGAGUCAAUCCAGAAAAGAAUGUUGACCUGCCUGACACGCCUUUUGACGGAAUCGGGUGCGAAGAUAAGGAGUACAUGGAUGCGAUGCCAGGUUCCGUCGAUUGCCCUAUGCCAGUUGCAUCAGAUGGAUUUUCAUCAGAUCCUGAAGUUGAUGUCUUGGCAGACGAGAUACCUAAGCUUCCAGGUAUAAAUGACGUAUUCUGGGAACAAUUUCUCUCAUCAAGUCCUGUAACUGGGGAUAUGGAUGAGAUAGAUUCUAGCACAAUGGGAGGUGGUAUGGGAAAAGAGCAGGACCAGCAGACUGAGAAAGAAGGUGAAUGGGAUAAAAUGAAGAAUAUAAGUAAUCUUACCAUAUAGAUGGGGCUUCUUGCACCAGCAGCGAAGAGUGGAUGAUUCUCUGUGAUGAGUCGCAUGUAAAUCGGCAGCAAUGGUCAGAGGUUCACAAUGUAACCUUGUGGAGAAAUUGGUUGUCAGAUGUGAGGAUGCCAUUUUGCUUGGUAUCCAUGUUUUGAUCAGCUUGUUUAGAGUUUUCAGAAAAUGAUAUUUCAGACAGAAGUUACCUUCAUUGGAUGCAUGUCUGUGCAUUGUUACUUGGAUGAAACCACAGAUUUAAUCGACUACAAAUAUAAGAUCUUUGUCAUGCAUAAAACUGCAAUGGAUCAUAACAAGCUUUUAUUUUCUGAACUCCUUUAGAUAGUAAUCUUUUGUAUUCAUAGUAUUUUCACGUUUCAAGGACAGUAGACCGAUGGAUUAUACUGUAACGGAGCAAUGGAAGUAAGUUGUCUUGACAUUGCACUGUACUGUACAUGAGUAACUGUAAACGUCAAAGUGAAAACAAUUAUGAAUGCGUUACAAUUA